rnacentral:rRNA from 1 species
CCUACGGGGGGCUGCAGUGGGGAAUAUUGGACAAUGGGGGCAACCCUGAUCCAGCCAUGCCGCGUGUGUGAAGAAGGCCCUCGGGUUGUAAAGCACUUUCAGUGAGGAAGAACGCCUGGUGGUUAAUACCCAUCAGGAAAGACAUCACUCACAGAAGAAGCACCGGCUAACUCCGGUGCCAGCAGCCGCGGUAAUACGGAGGGUGCGAGCGUUAAUCGGAAUUACUGGGCGUAAAGCGCGCGUAGGUGGCUUGAUAAGCCGGUUGUGAAAGCCCCGGGCUCAACCUGGGAACGGCAUCCGGAACUGUCAAGCUAGAGUGCAGGAGAGGAAGGUAGAAUUCCCGGUGUAGCGGUGAAAUGCGUAGAGAUCGGGAGGAAUACCAGUGGCGAAGGCGGCCUUCUGGACUGACACUGACACUGAGGUGCGAAAGCGUGGGUAGCAAACAGGAUUAGAUACCCGGGUAGUC